AACGAACGCUGGCGGCAUGCCUAACACAUGCAAGUCGAACGAGAUCUUCGGAUCUAGUGGCGCACGGGUGCGUAACGCGUGGGAAUCUGCCCUUUGCUUCGGAAUAACAGUGAGAAAUUACUGCUAAUACCGGAUGAUGUCUUCGGACCAAAGAUUUAUCGGCAAAGGAUGAGCCCGCGUAGGAUUAGGUAGUUGGUGGGGUAAUGGCCUACCAAGCCGACGAUCCUUAGCUGGUCUGAGAGGAUGAUCAGCCACACUGGGACUGAGACACGGCCCAGACUCCUACGGGAGGCAGCAGUGAGGAAUAUUGGACAAUGGGGGAAACCCUGAUCCAGCAAUGCCGCGUGAGUGAUGAAGGCCUUAGGGUUGUAAAGCUCUUUUACCAGGGAUGAUAAUGACAGUACCUGGAGAAUAAGCUCCGGCUAACUCCGUG
rnacentral:rRNA from 1 species